UAGCCACAAUCUUAACGAUGGAUGUCUUGGUUCCUAUAGCGAUGAAGGCCGCAGCAAAGUGCGAUAUGCAAUGAAAAAUGCAAUUACUGUGAAUCAUCAGAAUGCUGAAUGUAAACUAUACCAUAUUUACCCUUAUGGGCAAAUUAACGUGGUAUUCCUACAGAAAAUAUUUGAUUUGAUGUUAGGAAGGCAAAUCCGCCGAAUUUAAGCAUAUAAUUAAGCGGAAGAAAAGAAAAUAACAAUGAUUUCUUUAGUAACGGCGAGUGAACAAGAAAAAGCUCAAGGAGAUAAUUCUAUAUCGUAGUUGUAAAAAGACUAUGUGUAUAGAAAUUGUUCUGUUAUAAGGAAGAAGUAAUCUGAGAAUAUAUGGGAUUUAUAUAUAUAUUUAGUUAUCGAAAUAAGUAGGAAUACUUUCCCAUAGAGGGUGAAAGGCCCGUAGUUAAUAAAUAUAUAAAGUUCUUUUUUUUUGGAUAAUUUUUUUUUUUAAAGAGUAGUGCUCUUUGAGAUUGGAGUACAAAGAUGUGUGAUACAUUUCACAUAAGGCUAAAUAUAUAUAGGAGACCGAUAGCAAACAAGUACCGUGAGGGAAAGAUGAAAUAGUACUCAGGAAUGAGCAGUUAAAUAGUACCUGAAAUCGUUAAGGUGGAACGGAUUAAGAAAGGAAAAUGUAAGAAGAUAGUAAAUAUUACUCGGCGAGUUUUAUUAAGAUACGAUUUUUUUAUAAAAAGAAACAUGAGUGAACGAGAAUAAAUUAUAAUAUAAUUAUAUUAGAUAGGUAUAGAAUAGAUACACAGGACUAAGGGGGGAGGAGUAGUAAGAAAAAGGGUGCAGUGUAAAAGGGUUAUGCUUGUAUGUUUGAGUAUUCACUGCUUCUUUUUUUUUUUUCUGUAAUUUUAUAUCUAUUUAAUUAAAGUAUCCUUAGCUAAUAAUAAUUUAUGAAGGAAGAACUUAAUUUAUAUGAGUUUUAAAAGGCAUGAUUAUAUUGUAUAUUAUAUGAUAUAUAUAUAAUUAUGUUUUAACCGAAAUGCGUAUAAUUAUUCUGUUUACUGAGGAAAGAGGUAAACAAUAGUGUGAACUAAGAAUGGGAUAUUUCUUUUUUCUGAUUGUAAGUUGUUUUUAAAUAGUACUUUUUUAACCCACUCGUCUUGAAACACGGACCAAGGAGUCUAACAAAUGUGCGAGCGUAUGUGAUAUGAAUAAAAACAUAUAUAAAUUUUUAGUUACGCGUAAUUAAUGUGAAUUUUUUGUGGAUGCGCCGGACAAUAGUGCAUUUGGUUUCUGGCUUGCAAACAAUACCGAUAAGCAAUAAGAUAAUUAAGUUUAUUUGAGUAUGAGUACAUUUGUUAGGACCCGAGAGGCUUUGAACUAAGCGUGAUGAGAUUGAAGUCAGACGAAAGUCUGAUGGAGGAUCGAGUUGAUACUGACGUGCAAAUCGUUCAUUACAAUCACGUUUAGGGGCGAAAGACUAAUCGAAAAGCCUAUUAGCUGGUUAUUUUCGAAAGAUCUCUCAGGAUCGCUGGAGUUGAGUUGAUUAUAAUUUUAUAAGGUAGAGACAAUGAUUAGAGGGUUUAGGGGAUUAAAUAUUUCUUAACCUAUUCUCAAACUUCCAAUAUGUAAAGAGGGUGCGAUAUCUGAAAAGUAUUUCACUUUGGCGUAAAUAAGAUAACUCCAAGUGGGCCAUUUUUGGUAAGCAGAACUGGCGAUGAGGGAUGCUCCUAACGCCUGGAUAAGGUGCCUAAAUAUUCGCUCAUGAGAUCCCAUAAAAGGUGUUGGUUCAUAAUGACAGUAGGACGAUGGUCAUGGAAGUCGAAAUUCGCUUAGGAGUGUGUAACAACUCACCUACCGAAUGAACUAGCCCUGAAAAUGGAUGGGCUAAAGCGAAUUACCGAUACCGGGCCAUAAGAAGGUAGAAAUUAUAAAUGUUAAUUUAGCUCAGAUCUUUUUAUGAGUAGAAAAUCGUGGGGUUUGUGUUGAAGCGAAAUACGUGAGUUUUCGUGGAACAUCUCCCUAGUGCAGAUCUUGGUGGAAGUAGCAACUAUUCAAAUGAGAACUUUGAAGACUGAAGUGGAGAAGGGUUUCUUGUCAACUAUGUUUCUACAAGAGUUAGCCACUCCUAAGGGAUAGCUGAAAAGUGUUUAAAAGAAGUAAGAUAUUAUAUGGAAAUAUAUAAUUAGAUCUUCGUCUCAAAAGGGAAACAGGUUAAUAUUCCUGUGCCAAAUAGAAGUAAGGGUGUGAAUAAAGAAAGAUGGUAACAUACAUACAAAUGAACUCCUUGACAUAGGUUUUACGCUCGGGGUGCGUUAUCUUUGCACUUUAAUUUUAUAGCAAACCUUGGAAUCAAUUUAUUUGGAGAAGAGGUUUGUUGAACUCAAUUCAAAAAAUUUAUGGCUGGGUUUUCGGAUUCAGUUCAUUUUAUUUUUUGUUUUGUAGCAAUAGUAAUUCGUUUUUAUGAAUUAUCCGAAGUGGUAAAAACUAUCCUUGAAAAAAGGAGGGAACGGAG
rnacentral:rRNA from 14 species